rnacentral:rRNA from 1 species
UGGGGAAUAUUGCACAAUGGGCGAAAGCCUGAUGCAGCAACGCCGCGUGAGUGAAGAAGGCCUUCGGGUUGUAAAGCACUUUCAGCGAGGAGGAAGGUGGUGAGCUUAAUACGCUCAUCAAUUGACGUUACUCGCAGAAGAAGCACCGGCUAACUCCGUGCCAGCAGCCGCGGUAAUACGGAGGGUGCAAGCGUUAAUCGGAAUUACUGGGCGUAAAGCGCACGCAGGCGGUUUGUUAAGUCAGAUGUGAAAUCCCCGGGCUCAACCUGGGAACUGCAUUUGAAACUGGCAAGCUAGAGUCUCGUAGAGGGGGGUAGAAUUCCAGGUGUAGCGGUGAAAUGCGUAGAGAUCUGGAGGAAUACCGGUGGCGAAGGCGGCCCCCCUGGACGAAGACUGACGCUCAGGUGCGAAAAGGCGUGGGGCAGCAAACAGAUUAGAUACCCUGGUAGUCCACGCUGU